rnacentral:rRNA from 1 species
AUGGGAACGCGAAGAACCUUACCUAGACUUGACAUCUCCUGAAUUACUCUGUAAUAGAGGAAGCCUUUCGGGGCAGGAAGACAGGUGGUGCAUGGUUGUCGUCAGCUCGUGUCGUGAGAUGUUGGGUUAAGUCCCGCAACGAGCGCAACCCUUAUUGUUAGUUGCUACCAUUAAGUUGAGCACUCUAGCGAGACUGCCCGGGUUAACCGGGAGGAAGGCGGGGAUGACGUCAAAUCAUCAUGCCCCUUAUGUCUAGGGCAACACACGUGCUACAAUGGUGAGUACAGAUAGAUGCGAUACCGCAAGGUGGAGCCAAACUCUAAAACUCAUCCCAGUUCGGAUUGUAGGCUGCAACUCGCCUACAUGAAGUUGGAGUUGCUAGUAAUCGCGAAUCAGAAUGUCGCGGUGAAUACGUUCCCGGGUCUUGUACACACCG